AGUUUAAAGUAAUCUUUUUAAAUGUGUCCUGCCCAGUGUUUUUAUAAAUGGCCGCAGUACCCUGACUGUGCAAAGGUAGCAUAAUCAAUUGGCUUUUAAUUAAAGUCUGGAAUGAAAGGAUUUAUGAGAAAAGACUGUCUUAAAAAUAUUUAAUUUAAUUUAUUUAUUAGGUGAAAAUACCUAUUUUAUAGAAAAAAGACGAGAAGACCCUUAGAAUUUUAAUAAUAUAUUUUAAAUAAUUAUUUUUGUUGGGGCGACAGUUAAGCAAUUAAACCUUAAUUUUUUUAAAACGAAAUUGUUAUAAUAGAUUAAAUUACCUUAGGGAUAACAGCAUUAUUUUUAAAAGUUUGUGACCUCGAUGUUGGACUAGGAACUUUAUGGCUAGCAGUCUAAAAAGAUUUGUUCUGUUCGAACAAUUAAAUCCU
rnacentral:rRNA from 1 species